GACGACAGGAGGUGGUAAACCAAGAGCCAAGAAUCAAGGACUUCAAAGACAGGUGGCCGGCACUGUUCCAACACAAAGAGAUCAAUGCAGAGUUCCAGAGGAUAAUGACCAUUCCUCUUGAGGAGAAGUUCAUGGCCCAGUUGGACAUUCACUCAAGUCAGCUAAUCACAGUCAUCCGUGCCAAAGGAGGAUCAACACGUCAAAAGACUGCUGACAUCAUGGACAUUUUUGACCAGACUGAAGACAUUCAUCUUCGGAGGGAG